GAGUCGACAACCCAUUUGACAGAUAGCGUCAUCGAAUUGAUGCAAAAAAAACAGCAAAAAUAUUAAAUAAAUCAGUUUACCUUCAUUUGUAAAAUUAAACCAUUAAAAAAACCGAUGAAAAUACGCUAAAUUUGAUGAAAGCCGCUAAACUGCAGAAUCAUAUUAUUUUUAAUUCGGACCAAAAUCUAAAAAUUACCAAUAUAUAAAUACAUUAUGGGUGUCUUUGCGGUAUUUUUGUUGCACGCAAAUGACGGACUUAGUUACAAGAAAAGAUGCUUACACCAAACAUGCAAAUCGUUCAGAUCCUGUUAAUAAGUUAUUCCAUGCGUCUGUGCGAAAAAGUGACAACUGAUGCAAUUGCGUAAUGUUUAAGGUUUAGGGCAAUGCGUUUGUGUGUAACAACAAUAAAGGAUGCCGACACGGGUGUUCAUUGGGUUUAUUCUAUAACUAACGCUUUAUUAUAACUUUUGUUUUUAAUUUACGUAAAUUUGUUUUAUUUUCUUUUGUUUUACUAUUUACUCUACUAUUUUUAGUUACUAAUUAUUAAUUUAACAUAUUUUUGUUUAUUUUAAUUUCUAUUUGCUUCUCUUACUAAUUCUUUUAAUGAAUUACACAUGU